GAGAAACCUACCGCAUCAUUCCGGAUAAUUGGUCGAAAGGCCUUGUAAUACGGGGGAGGUUCGUUGAUGGGCAUCCAUUAACGAACGAACGAGCAAUCGGUGCUGUGAUGGUCUCGCGGCUUAUCAGGUAGUUGGUGGGGUAACGGCCUACCAAGCCUACGACGAGUAGCUGGUCUGAGAGGAUGGUCAGCCACAUUGGAACUGAGACACUGUCCAGACUCCUACGGGAGGCUGCAGUCGAGAAUCUUGGGCAAUGCACGAAAGUGUGACCCAGCGACGCCGCGUGAAGGAUGAAGGCCCUCUGGGUCGUAAACUUCUUUUACGGGAGAAGAAGAACUGACGGUAUCCCGUGAAUAAGCCACGGCUAACUACGUGCCAGCAGCCGCGGUAAUACGUAGGUGGCAAGCGUUGUCCGGAUUUACUGGGCGUAAAGCGCGCGCAGGCGGAUGGUUAAGUAGGAAGUGAAAGGUUGGAGCUCAACUCCAACAUUGCUCCCUAUACUGGCCGUCUUGAGUCCCGGAGAGGAAAGCGGAACGACACGU
rnacentral:rRNA from 1 species